GGAUUCGUUGGUCUGGUUCGACGAGGUCAAGGGUUCGAUUCCCUUCGAAUCCA
rnacentral:tRNA from 1 species